rnacentral:rRNA from 1 species
UACGUAGGGUGCAAGCGUUGUCCGGAAUUAUUGGGCGUAAAGAGCUCGUAGGCGGCUUGUCACGUCGACUGUGAAAACCCGGGGCUCAACUCCGGGCCUGCAGUCGAUACGGGCUGGCUUGAGUGCGGUAGGGGAGACUGGAAUUCCUGGUGUAGCGGUGAAAUGCGCAGAUAUCAGGAGGAACACCGGUGGCGAAGGCGGGUCUCUGGGCCGAAACUGACGCUGAGGAGCGAAAGCGUGGGGAGCGAACAGG